GUAACACGUAGUCAACAUGCCCAGGGGACGUGGAUAACCUCGGGAAACUGAGGAUAAACCGCGAUAGGUCAUUACUUCUGGAAUGGGUAAUGACUUAAAUCUAUAUGGCCCCUGGAUUGGACUGCGGCCGAUCAGGCUGUUGGUGAGGUAAUGGCCCACCAAACCUGUAACCGGUACGGGCUCUGAGAGGAGGAGCCCGGAGAUGGGCACUGAGACAAGGGCCCAGGCCCUAUGGGGCGCAGCAGGCGCGAAACCUCUGCAAUAGGCGAAAGCCUGACAGGGUUACUCUGAGUGAUCUCCGUUAAGGAGAUCUUUUGGCACCUCUAAAAAUGGUGCAGAAUAAGGGGUGGGCAAGUCUGGUGUCAGCCGCCGCGGUAAUACCAGCACCCCGAGUGGUCGGGACGUUUAUUGGGCCUAAAGCAUCCGUAGCCGGUUCUACAAGUCUUCCGUUAAAUCCAGCUGCUUAACAGAUGGGCCGCGGAAGAUACUAUGGAGCU
rnacentral:rRNA from 1 species